rnacentral:rRNA from 1 species
AGGACGAACGCUGGCGGCGUGCCUAACACAUGCAAGUCGAACGAGGUCCAACCGGUAGCAAUACUGGUGAAGAUCAAGUGGCGAACGGGUGAGUAACACGUGACUAACCUACCCUCGAGUGUGGAAUAACAUCGGGAAACCGAUGCUAAUACCGCAUAACAUCGGCGCUUUUAAGAGAUGCCGAUCAAAGGAGCAAUCCGCUUGAGGAGGGGGUCGCGGCUGAUUAGCUAGUUGGCGGGGUAACGGCCCACCAAGGCGAAGAUCGGUA